GAGCAGAAUUUGCGCAAGCACCAGUUUGCCUCAUGCUACAGUAACAGCAGAAAUCAGCAGAGAGAUACAGGCAGGUGGGGGAACAUUAGUGCUCUCCGGGCUAUGGUCCUGUGGGCAGCAGGUUCAGGUAAUGAGAAAUUUUUCACCUUCCAAAAAAUCCUGCUUUUGUUGCUGCUUCAUUUCACUGAUUUAUCAGGUUGAUGAUGUAACUUCCUGAUUUCAUGUGGAAGGAUUGCUCUCUCAGCCCCUCUGCACUGCUAAAGAAGCUGCACACAAAUGUAAAAACAGAGAUGGAUUUUUAUUAAAAAAAAAAAAGGGGGGGAGAAAAAGAAAUUGUCUUCUAAAAGAAGUUUCACUGAAGCAACAUGAGAGGCAUCUUAUGGCAGUGAAGUGGAAUCUGAAGAUGGAGUGCAGGGCCACAGAAACAGGCAAGCCAGCUCCAUUUUAAUGCAGAGGCAGCAGACAGAGUGCGAUCUGAGAUUGGCAAAGUUUCAAUGUAAAUCCAGGGGGGCAAGGGGGAUGGGGCUGGGAUGAGAAGAAAGGAC